rnacentral:lncRNA from 1 species
UUCGCUCCUGGGUGAUAAGGAUGUUCGGAAUAUGCAUCAAAUACACGUCAACUUAAAUGUGCCGGUGAUCGAGUUGGUUGUUAGUCAUAUUCCAUGCUUGAUCGAAGCAGCCGAUGUCGUAAUUGAUAUGAGGUAAUGCUGAAGUUAAUUCAUCUGUUUCUAUUUUGGUAAUUUUAGUUUAAAUCUUUGUUGUAUUGCAUAUUUCACUUGUUAGUUUGUUCAUGUUAAUCACAAAUUUAAUAGUUAGUAUGCUGAAUUUUUGUUAAACUUAUUGUAGGGAUAGUGGCCCAUC